UUCCAGCCAAGCCAGCCGAGAAAGCCUGCC
rnacentral:piRNA from 1 species